UACAGAGGCCUCAAGCGUUAGGCGGAAUCACUGGGCGUAAAGGGCGUGUAGGCGGGAAUGGAAGGCGGGCGUGAAAUCCCUAGGCUCAACCUAGGAACUGCACUCGAAACUGCGUUUCUUGAGUAUCGGAGAGGAAAGCGGAAUACCUGGUGUAGAGGUGAAAUUCGUAGAUAUCAGGUGGAACACCAGUGGCGAAGGCGGCUUUCUGGACGAUAACUGACGCUGAGACGCGAAAGCGUGGGGAGCAAACAGG
rnacentral:rRNA from 1 species